CCGGCUGUGGGUACCAGAUGUCGAGGCGCAUCUGACCCUUUGCACUUGUUUGACACAGCAGGCAAUUCUUACAAAGUAACUAACUUUCUUAGUUGAAGCUACUUUGCUGACUCAUCUCCAAACACGUUAUGUGACAGAUGAAGGAGAAGAGACUGAGAGUGAGGAGCUGACUUCCCCGGGUCACACAGUUAGCACUUAGGACUUCCUUAGAGUGUUCCCCUCUCUGCAACUCACAGUCAUAGUACUGUAGGAACCACGUCUCAAACAGAAAUUUACUUUGGCCUCACAAUAAAAACUAACGUAGGAUAAAAGUGUGGAUGGGCUCCGUUUUGUGCCAAGAGCUUGCUCAUCAAAGACAGAGAUUCAGCAAUGAGUGGGAAGCAGUCUAAUCCUGAUCCAAUCGCCUGUUGAUAAUCCAUCCUCCCUGAGUUGAUGCCCAGACAGAUCACUGACUGAAUCUUGCCUAGACUGUAAGUGGAGGAACUUUAGAACUUUCUUCCUAACUUUUGUUUUACAGAGGAGGAAAUCGAGGCCCCUAAAAACCUUAAAAGCUAAUUCACCCCAGAGGCAGAUCUAGAACCUACAAUGCUAAUCCCUGAGCUGUGUUCACUUCCAUGCCUCCACCUAAUUUCUGAUUGCAACCUAACAUGGGAGCCCAACCUGUCUCAUGGAUUACCCAUAUCUUCUCUGUCAUCCUUCAGCUGGCUGGAAGCAUGGAAGUGUGAGAUAGGCUGCCCAGAGAGGAUGCCGCAGGAGAAGAAUGGGAACUUCUCAACCCCGUGAGUCUGCACCCUUUCCUUACCCUGGCUUUUUUUUUGCUCUUCUCGAGAGUUUGCAGCUUCCAACACCAUUUCACACGCUUCUCCUGUGAGUGACGGAGCAGAGUGUCCCAACAAUACCUAGUGCAUUUUGUGUCAGGGGCCCGUGGGUCAGCAAGGUUAUUAAUAAGCAUCGCCUCUUGUUCUAAUUUGGGUCCCUUCUCUCCUCCUGCCCUGCUUUUCCUUUCACUUCUCUCUCUGACCCUUUUCCCCUUCUCCCUGAUCUCAAGGAUUCGGCCUUCAUUUUAGCUUGACUUCUGGCACUCUUCCCAUAUCACAUUUCUGAUGUAUUUGUUGCUCCUGCAAAGUUUUCACAGGGAAUUUUAUUUUUGAGGAAAUGCUUCGUGUCCUAAAUCCAUUCGUCGCAGGCUGGUGCGAUGCUCUGACCUGACCUGCCUGAGACGAACGGCAGGGAUCAGUCAGAUGGAGGCAAAUGUGUGCAUGAACGGGGGACAGACCUUGUUUUUUAAAAAGAAUUUCUGUUAAACAAAAUUUACUAACCACAAAGUUUAGCCAGAUUGAAGAGGCCACUAUUACAAUCAGGUCCACAUGAAAGGAGGAAGGCGAAAGGCAGCUUAAUUUUAUUAGUAUUUUUCUAUUCUCUUUCAUGAGACAAAGAGAAUUUAAAGAAUUUAUCAUGUAUUUUUGGAUGUGUGUAUAUCUAUUUUAUUUUCCAUUUACAGCCUGAUUUAUGACCUCAGCUUAUAUUUAGAGUAAAGCUUGUUGUAUUUCUGCUGAUUUUCUUACACAAAUAGAACUGGUUGCAUGGUCACCACCACUACCAAAUUUUUACAUACAAGCUCUUCCGAUCCCCUGAACGCGGUGCAAAUUCAAUUUUUCUUUUCACUUACAACAUUUCUAACUGCAAAACUUCAAACCAGAAAUAACUGAAAAAAGUCAGUUCCUACACACACACAAACUUGCAUGUGCUCUCUCCAAAUUUAUUAAGCUUCAGUUGUUACUUU
rnacentral:lncRNA from 1 species